rnacentral:rRNA from 1 species
GGGGAAUAUUGCACAAUGGGGGAAACCCUGAUGCAGCGACGCCGCGUGGAGGAAGAAGGUCUUCGGAUUGUAAACUCCUGUUGUUGGGGAAGAUAAUGACGGUACCCAACAAGGAAGUGACGGCUAACUACGUGCCAGCAGCCGCGGUAAAACGUAGGUCACAAGCGUUGUCCGGAAUUACUGGGUGUAAAGGGAGCGCAGGCGGGAAGACAAGUUGGAAGUGAAAUCUAUGGGCUCAACCCAUAAACUGCUUUCAAAACUGUUUUUCUUGAGUAGUGCAGAGGUAGGCGGAAUUCCCGGUGUAGCGGUGGAAUGCGUAGAUAUCGGGAGGAACACCAGUGGCGAAGGCGGCCUACUGGGCACCAACUGACGCUGAGGCUCGAAAGUGUGGGUAGCAAACAGGAUUAGAUACCCUGGUAGUCCACACCGUAAACGAUGAUUACUAGGUGUUGGAGGAUUGACCCCUUCAGUGCCGCAGUUAACACAAUAAGUAAUCCACCUGGGGAGUACGACCGCAAGGUUGAAACUCAAAGGAAUUGACGGGGGCCCGCACAAGCAGUGGAGUAUGUGGUUUAAUUCGACGCAACGCGAAGAACCUUACCAAGUCUUGACAUCCCUUGACGAACAUAGAAAUAUGUUUUCUCUUCGGAGCAAGGAGACAGGUGGUGCAUGGUUGUCGUCAGCUCGUGUCGUGAGAUGUUGGGUUAAGUCCCGCAACGAGCGCAACCCUUAUGGUCAGUUACUACGCAAGAGGACUCUGGCCAGACUGCCGUUGACAAAACGGAGGAAGGUGGGGAUGACGUCAAAUCAUCAUGCCCUUUAUGACUUGGGCUACACACGUACUACAAUGGCGUUAAACAAAGAGAAGCAAGACCGCGAGGUGGAGCAAAACUCAGAAACAACGUCCCAGUUCGGACUGCAGGCUGCAACUCGCCUGCACGAAGUCGGAAUUGCUAGUAAUCGUGGAUCAGCAUGCCACGGUGAAUACGUUCCCG